GUGGGGAAUCUUAGACAAUGGGCGCAAGCCUGAUCUAGCCAUGCCGCGUGAGCGAUGAAGGCCUUAGGGUUGUAAAGCUCUUUCGUGGGGGAAGAUAAUGACUGUACCCCAAGAAGAAGCCCCGGCUAACUCCGUGCCAGCAGCCGCGGUAAUACGGAGGGGGCUAGCGUUGUUCGGAAUUACUGGGCGUAAAGCGCACGUAGGCGGACUGGAAAGUCAGGGGUGAAAUCCCGGGGCUCAACCCCGGAACUGCCUUUGAAACUCCCAGUCUUGAGUUCGAGAGAGGUGAGUGGAAUUCCGAGUGUAGAGGUGAAAUUCGUAGAUAUUCGGAAGAACACCAGUGGCGAAGGCGACUGACUGGACAAGUAUUGACGCUGAGGUGCGAAAGCGUGGGGAGCAAACAGGAUUAGAUACCCCGGUAGUCC
rnacentral:rRNA from 1 species